AGAGUUUGAUCAUGGCUCAGGACGAACGCUGGCGGCGCGCCUAAAACAUGCAAGUCGAGCGAGAACUGGGGCUUCGGCUCCGGGGAGAGCGGCGAACGGGUGCGUAACACGUGAGCAACCUGCCCCGAAGACCGGGACAACACCGGGAAACCGGUGCUAAUACCGGAUGUCCUCACCGGAUCGCAUGGUCUGGUGAGGAAAUGGAUUCCGCUUUGGGAUGGGCUCGCGGUCUAUCAGCUUGUUGGUGGGGUAACGGCCUACCAAGGCGACGACGGAUAGCUGGUCUGAGAGGACGAUCAGCCACACUGGGACUGAGACACGGCCCAGACUCCUACGGGAGGCAGCAGUUAGGAAUCUUGCGCAAUGGGGGAAACCCUGACGCAGCGACGCCGCGUGCGGGAUGAAGGCCUUCGGGUUGUAAACCGCUUUCAGGAGGGACGAAAUUGACGGUACCUCCAGAAGAAGGCCCGGCCAACUACGUGCCAGCAGCCGCGGUA
rnacentral:rRNA from 1 species